UCCUACGGGAGGCAGCAGUGGGAAUAUUGCACAAUGGGCGGAAGCCUGAUGCAGCAACGCCGCGUGCGGGAUGACGGCCUUCGGGUUGUAAACCGCUUUCGCCUGUGACGAAGCGUGAGUGACGGUAAUGGGUAAAGAAGCACCGGCUAACUACGUGCCAGCAGCCGCGGUGAUACGUAGGGUGCGAGCGUUGUCCGGAUUUAUUGGGCGUAAAGGGCUCGUAGGUGGUUGAUCGCGUCGGAAGUGUAAUCUUGGGGCUUAACCCUGAGCGUGCUUUCGAUACGGGUUGACUUGAGGAAGGUAGGGGAGAAUGGAAUUCCUGGUGGAGCGGUGGAAUGCGCAGAUAUCAGGAGGAACACCAGUGGCGAAGGCGGUUCUCUGGGCCUUUCCUGACGCUGAGGAGCGAAAGCGUGGGGAGCGAACAGGCUUAGAUACCCUGGUAGUCCACGCUGUAAACGGUGGGUACUAGGUGUGGGGUCCAUUCCACGGGUUCCGUGCCGUAGCUAACGCUUUAAGUACCCCGCCUGGGGAGUACGGCCGCAAGGCUAAAACUCAAAGGAAUUGACGGGGCCCCGCACAAGCGGCGGAGCAUGCGGAUUAAUUCGAUGCAACGCGAAGAACCUUACCAAGGCUUGACAUAUACUGGACCGCAUCAGAGAUGGUGUUUCCCUUCGGGGCUGGUAUACAGGUGGUGCAUGGUUGUCGUCAGCUCGUGUCGUGAGAUGUUGGGUUAAGUCCCGCAACGA
rnacentral:rRNA from 1 species